CCCUAUGGGGUGCAGCAGGCGGACCCAUUGCUGCUUCAGGCCGGAGCGAUGAUGGGGUGUGGCAGAAUCCGCAGCAUCUUCACGAUUCUUCUCCCUUCAGCCAUGCCCCACCUCUUGACAGGGCUGCGGUUGGGGUUGGGUAUUUCAUGGGCCUAUCUCGUGCUCGGGGAGCUUUCAGGGGUGCCCAACGGUCUGGGAGCGCUCAUCAUGGAUGCUCGCAUGACGGGGCGGAUCGAAAUCAUCCUGGUAGGCAUCAUCCUCAUCGCCAUAAUGGGACGAUUGAGUGAUACAGUGUUGAAGAGCUUCAUGAGAUUUUGUUUUAAGAGUGCUAGGAGGAUGCUCUGAUCGUGCCAUCGAGUGCUCCUCAGGUAGUGCCGGAUCUGGAAUUGGCGGGAGAGC
rnacentral:rRNA from 1 species